rnacentral:rRNA from 1 species
GACGAACGCUGGCGGCGUGCCUAAUACAUGCAAGUCGAGCGGAAUGAAGAAGAAGCUUGCUUCUUCUGAUUUUAGCGGCGGACGGGUGAGUAACACGUGGGCAACCUACCUUGUAGAUUGGGAUAACUCCGGGAAACCGGGGCUAAUACCGAAUAAUCCAUUUUGCUUCAUGGCGAGAUGUUAAAAGGCGGCUUCGGCUGUCACUACGAGAUGGGCCCGCGGCGCAUUAGCUAGUUGGUAGGGUAAUGGCCUACCAAGGCGACGAUGCGUAGCCGACCUGAGAGGGUGAUCGGCCACACUGGGACUGAGACACGGCCCAGACUCCUACGGGAGGCAGCAGUAGGGAAUCUUCCACAAUGGACGAAAGUCUGAUGGAGCAACGCCGCGUGAGUGAAGAGGGUUUUCGGAUCGUAAAACUCUGUUGUAAGGGAAGAACACGUACGAGAGUAACUGCUCGUACCUUGACGGUACCUUAUUAGAAAGCCACGGCUAACUACGUG